GGUUUAUUUUCCCUCUUUUCCAUUUUUAGGCAUUUGGUAUGAGGACACUUUUGGACAAGUAUGGGUGGUUGAUAUUCUCCAAAGUGAAACUGAUUGAAACACAGGUAAAAUGGCUGGUAUUCUGAUAACCUGCCAUGUUAAAUGUAAUGGACACUUCUAGCAGUUCUUUACUAUAAUUUCUCUUACCAUUCCCCUAUCUAAAAGAUAUCAAUAAUAAUAGCAAAAUAAUGCAACACUUCAUGUUGACAUAACAAAAGUGAUUAUUCCUUAAAAUAGCUUCAUGCCACAUCAUAGAACCAUCUGUGAGGGGAAAAAAUGUUUUCAUAGUACUUAGGUAGUGUCUAUUAUGCACAGCAGUAGUAUCUUUAAUGGAAAAGGUAGAAAGAGUAAGCAAAUGCCAGUAGCAAUUUCAAUAUAAUGAUAUUGUUAUAUCUAUUACCAUUUUCACCAAUAUAAUAAAAGAUAGGAGAAACACCAUUUCAUGUGAGCAGUUAUCUUGCUAAGGAUAUUAGGAAAGCACAAAUGUACUUAUAGUACUUUGAUUUAUAUUAUAUCAAACUUUUUAAAUGAGCAGCAUCCCGUAACAAGGUAGAUUUGAAGCCAUUGUGAUCCAUUAAAACAGUAAUAAGUGUCUGAUAGUAGAGUCCCUGCCAUCUUUCUAUUAAGAUUUCUUGAUUUGGUCUGUAUCUGGUUUUGUGUUGUUUCUUUUGAACUGCAUUAAUCAUGAAUGCCCCUCCCACACCAGUGUCCUAGCUGUCAGAUUAGUGCUGGUGUUAAUAAAGGUGCAUUUUGACAACACUGGUUUAAAAGGCAAAUCUGAGGGUUAGGGAAAUUCAACCUUCAUUUCAGAGAGUCCUUUUCUGGGUUGCUUCUACCCCUCUAGUUAUCCUGCUUCACUGUUCCUGACAAAUAAAGCCUUGUUCACCACGACCUUUCUUUCUAGGCACAACAAACAGGACUCAAUUUUAUUUGGAACUUAUCAUCACUGUUCCUUUACCAGCCAAAUGGGAUGCUGUUGAGUGACAUGGUGGACUCCACUGGCAUGCUGCUGGAGCUGUCUCUGGCAGCAGCUGGCUCCCUGCAUAGACAGCCAAAGGAAGAGAGGACAAGCCAGAGGGUUAUUCUCAUCUUAAUUGUGCACAAAGAGCUCCUCUUUCCCGUCCCUCCUCCCAGCAGAUGGAAACUAGGAUGACUGGGAUUGUAAUUAGGCACAUCAGCAUGGAGGAAGCAGAGAAGAGAGAAGAUUUGUGUCUGAGAAAUUCCCUGCUCAGGCUUUGUGGCCUGGCCUAGGCCAGCACACCACCGGGCACUUUGGAAAGGCACCUGUAAGGUCAGGCUGGACAGAUCUGGGACAAAAGGAUCAGGGAGGAAAUCCUCAGGUGCUCCAGGGUGAAGCCCUCUCCUCUGUGACCACACAAGUGUGCAUUUGCUGACUGUCAUAUCAGGGUUUGGAUCACACUGCACAGAAACAGCAGAAACCAGAUCUGUAACCACCACCUUGACUGACCUGCUGGACACAACAUUGUCUGGUUCCAUCUCUGACUCUGUCAGCAGGGAGUUGUCUGUAGGGCCCAUCUCCCAGUCAGCCUUCUGACAGGCUGCUUUGGAUGCAGUUGUUCUUUGAUUUACCUUUGAACACGUGCCAUAAGGCAUCAAUCCAAUUUUAGGGACAUCCUCAAGCAAGGGAGAGGUUUGAGGCCCAGCCUCUGCUAAAGGGAGAGCAGUCAGGAGACACAUUCCCAGUACCCUUGCUCAUUCAUGGAGCUUUGUUGGGUGUAAAUUUUACCCUUUACAGGAGACAAUUAAGGAUGAAGACCAAAUGUCUAUACCUACUGUCCACAUUUCUCAUCAUGGUGAAUACAAUCUCCUCCCUACUCUCCUUUGCUGCUCCUUUCCUUUUGAAAGGACACCUGUGAGUGCAACAGAGCUCAAAUCUGACAAGAUGUAAUUAUUUUAGAUAAAUUGUCUAACUUUAGGCAAAAAAUUAUUGCAAAAAUUACAUACCAAGUCAGCUAGCAAAUAAAGAACCAGUACUGUGAGUUUGUUUGGUCUUCAACAGUGCAUUACAGCUCUGCUUCUAGACCAGCUCAGCUGCAGAAACAUUUCAGAUUCAAAAUGGACAGCUUGAAUGGAAACAUGCUAUUUGUAGAAUGAUCCAUUUUUUAACUACUGGAUAUAAAAUAAUAAUUAAAAUUAUUUUAGUGCUUUGAGUAUGUAUUAACUAAAAAACUCAGAAAACAAAACAGUUCUGAACAACUUCAUAAAAUUAAUUCCUUCUUCAAUGUGGCCUGAGUAUCUGAGUACUUCCCAGCUCCCAGCC